GCUGACCAGCUAGCCAACACCCCUAGGCCACCCCACAACAGUCAGAAGCCUAACAGGACCCAAAAACUAAAAACAAACCAUUUUUCCAUCCUAGUAUGGGAGACAGAAAAGAAAAUUUGAGCAACAGAAAAAGUACCGCAAGGGAAAGCUGAAAGAGAAAUGAAAUAACCCAUUCAAGCAUGAAAAAACAGAGCUUUCACCUCGUACCUUUUGCAUCAUGAUUUAGCCAGUAAACUCAAGCAGAGAGCCCUUUAGUUUGAGCCCCCGAAACCAGACGAGCUACUCCGAGACAGCCUAUUUUAGGGCCAACCCGUCUCUGUGGCAAAAGAGUGGGAAGAGCUCCGAGUAGAGGUAAAAAACCUACCGAGUCUAGUUAUAGCUGGUUGCUUAGGAAAUGAAUAGAAGUUCAGCCCCCUAGAUUCUCAAACCCCCGGGGUCCCACCGACUACGGCCCCAGAAGCUAAGGAGGUUAGUCAGAGGAGGUACAGCUCCUCUGAACAAGGACACAACCUUUUUAGGCGGCUAAGGACCACAAUCUCUAAGGUAAGCUGUUUUAGUGGGCCUAAAAGCAGCCACCUAGGAAGAAAGCGUUAAAGCUCAGACAGCCCAAAACCUCUUAUUUUGCUACAAACUCCUACCCCCUAAUCCCUACUAAGCCAUCCCAUGCCCCCAUGGGAGAGCCAAUGCUAAAAUUAGUAAUAAGAGGAAGCGCUCCUCUCCCUGCACAUGUGUAAAUUGGAUUGGACCCUCCACCAACAAUUAACGAACCCAGAUCAAGAGGGAAGUUCGAACUUAAUCGAAAACAAGAAACACCCGAACUUUUUAUCGUUAACCCCACACAGGCGUGCUCCUGGGAAAGACAUAAAGGAAGAGAAGGAACUCGGCAAACCCUAGCCUCGCCUGUUUACCAAAAACAUCGCCUCUUGCAUAAAUAAGCAUAAGAGGUCCCGCCUGCCCUGUGACUUUACGUUUAACGGCCGCGGUAUUUUGACCGUGCGAAGGUAGCGCAAUCACUUGUCUUUUAAAUGAAGACCUGUAUGAAUGGCACGACGAGGGCUCGACUGUCUCCUCUCCCCAGUCAAUGAAAUUGAUUUUCCCGUGCAGAAGCGGGAGUACCCCCAUAAGACGAGAAGACCCUAUGGAGCUUUAGACACUAGGAAGCCCACAUUAACAAACCUGCCCCACCAGAAAGAACUCAGUGGCCCCUCUCCUAUUUGUCUUUGGUUGGGGCGACCGCGGAGGAAAAAACAGCCUCCAUGAGGACUAAGAGCACUGCUCUUACAGCCAAGACCCACUGCUCUAAGCAACAGAACUUCUGACCACAAUGAUCCGGCCUGCGCCGAUCAACGGACCGAGUUACCCUAGGGAUAACAGCGCAAUCCUCUCCCAGAGUCCCUAUCGACGAGGGGGUUUACGACCUCGAUGUUGGAUCAGGACAUCCUAAUGGUGCAGCCGCUAUUAAGGGUUCGUUUGUUCAACGACUAAAGUCCUACGUGAUCUGAGUUCAGACCGGAGUAAUCCAGGUCAGUUUCUAUCUAUGAAAUAGGCUUUCCUAGUACGAAAGGACCGGAAAGAAAGGGCCCAUGCUCCCAGCACGCCCUCCCUCCCCCCACUGAAAACAACUAAAGUGGAAAGGAGGCACACCAAGGCCGUGCCUUAAAGAACGGUAA
rnacentral:rRNA from 1 species